UACGUAGGGGGCAAGCGUUGUCCGGAUUUAUUGGGCGUAAAGAGCGUGUAGGCGGCCUGACAGGUCUGCUGUGAAAACUCGAGGCUCAACCUCGAGAUGUCGGCGGAAACCGUCUGGCUAGAGUCCGGAAGAGGAGAGUGGAAUUCCUGGUGUAGCGGUGAAAUGCGCAGAUAUCGGGAGGAACACCAGUAGCGAAGGCGGCACUCUGGGCCGUGACUGACGCUGAGGAGCGAAAGCGUGGGUAGCAAACAGG
rnacentral:rRNA from 1 species